rnacentral:rRNA from 1 species
CACUCCUGCGGGAGGCAGCAGUGGGGAAUAUUGGACAAUGGGCGCAAGCCUGAUCCAGCCAUGCCGCGUGAGUGAUGAAGGCCCUAGGGUUGUAAAGCUCUUUCACCGGUGAAGAUAAUGACGGUAACCGGAGAAGAAGCCCCGGCUAACUUCGUGCCAGCAGCCGCGGUAAUACGAAGGGGGCUAGCGUUGUUCGGAUUUACUGGGCGUAAAGCGCACGUAGGCGGACUAUUAAGUCAGGGGUGAAAUCCCGGAGCUCAACCCCGGAACUGCCUUUGAUACUGGUAGUCUUGAGUUCGAGAGAGGUGAGUGGAAUUCCGAGUGUAGAGGUGAAAUUCGUAGAUAUUCGGAGGAACACCAGUGGCGAAGGCGGCUCACUGGCUCGAUACUGACGCUGAGGUGCGAAAGCGUGGGGAGCAAACAGGAUUAGAAACCCUAGUAGUCCCA